CCAUGUGGUGUUACAGAUAUCUAUCAUACAUAUCAUGAUUGACAACUGUGUAGAUAUAUUUGGAUAGAAUAACAAUAUCGUUGUGACCAUAACCAAAAGAGGUCAGAUGACAUAAAGACAUCAGUAAAUACUGCUGCAGGGGAAAAUGAAACAACUUCAACAUAUAUCUUUUCACAAUGGAAAUUUCCUCAUGACUGAAGAAGUUGCUGGUCAUUUUAUUUCAAUGUUCCCUUCUACCUCCCUCUUAACCACAGCAGAAGAGAUUAUUAUGAGAAACAACUUCAGUUUUAUAUUUAACCAUAUUGUUACAUAGUUUCACUCACUAUAUUUAUUUUAUGUUGUGUAUUACACAUUCUUAUCUAUUAAUAUUAAUAAAUGGUAUUAAAUUA